UACAGGAGACUGCAAGCGUUAUUCGGAUUCACUGGGCGUAAAGGGUGCGCAGGCGGCCGUGUGUGUGAGGCGUGAAAAGCCCGGAGCUCAACUCCGGAAUUGCACCUCAAACUACAUGGCUAGAGCAUUGGAGAGGGAAGCGGAAUUCACGGUGUAGCAGUGAAAUGCGUAGAUAUCGUGAGGAACACCAGAGGCGAAGGCGGCUUCCUGGACAAUUGCUGACGCUCAGGCACGAAAGCGUGGGGAGCAAAAGGG
rnacentral:rRNA from 1 species